rnacentral:rRNA from 1 species
UACGAAGGGGGCUAGCGUUGUUCGGAUUUACUGGGCGUAAAGGGCGCGUAGGCGGCCAGCACAAGUCAGUUGUGAAAUCUCCGAGCUUAACUCGGAACGGUCAACUGAUACUGUGCGGCUAGAGUGCGGAAGGGGCAACUGGAAUUCUUGGUGUAGCGGUGAAAUGCGUAGAUAUCAAGAGGAACACCUGCGGCGAAGGCGGGUUGCUGGGCUGACACUGACGCUGAAGCGCGAAAGCUAGGGUAGCAAACGGG